GGAUGGCUCAGAGAUACUUCCAGCGAAAACAGUGGUGAGGUUUCCGGACCUCCUGUAGCGACACCCACUCCUCGCCGGAAACUGUCACGCAGAGAGUCCAGAAGACGUGUUUCCGUUAAGGAGCUUUUAUGUUGGAAGCGAUUACGAAAGCAACCACUGUCGGAAUCUUCUAGUGACUAGAGGAGCCAUGUCAGAGGGGCUCAGUCACAGACAGAGGUUUGUGGACUUCAACAAACUCUGAGGGAAUACGAUUUUACGCACAAGCAGCUCAUAAUCCCAUCACAAGUGUGUAUGUAAUUGCCGCCCAUGGAAUGGAUAUCAGAUGGAUAACCCUUUCAGACAUUAAGGUUCGUGCAUUUCAUUAUAUGCAAUUAAAAACAUAUUUCAGUCUUGUGCAUGAAAUAAUGGCAAUUAAAGAAUUACGGUUUCUGGUUUGGAAUGGAGCUUCUUUAGCUCACAGUAUCUCACUUUAAAAUAACACUUGCUAGAAAUCAUAGGAAAUAAUCAAUGAUGCUAUAUUUCCAAUUUUCAAAAAUAUUCUUCCUCAAAAGACUUUCUUAACUCAAAUACCGAGUCAAGGUGCUUCAUCUGGUUUAUGCUCAGUUGCUUGAUUGCACAGAUGGCAGCCUUUUUCACUGUUGCAGCAGCUGUCUCCUCUCUCUUCUGGAGAGGCACCAGAGCUCACCACAGCCUGCAUCUGGAAGCCUCCAGAGUUGGGAGUCCAGGGACUGUGCACCUUCAUAUAUGCUAUCUUCUAUCUGCAAACUGAAUUUUCUCCCACACUGCACAAACUUCCUGGGCACAAAAGUUAGCACAUCCAGGAGAUGGAUACUACCCUAAUCAUUUAUCUGAUGCACUAUUUUUUAUAUACAGCAGGAGUUGGGGAACCUCGGUCCUGGGCAUUGUGUAUGUGUCACAUGCUGCUCUCCAGGCCUUCUCUAUCAAGCCCCCAAGACUCUCCUCAGUCCAAAUCCCCAUACCUGUGUCACACUUGCCCUCUUUUGCCUCUGGCCUUGCUCAAUAUAUAGGGACGUGGGCAGUGCUGUGGUCUAAACCACUGAGCCUAUUGGGCUUGCUGAUCAGAAGGUCGGCAGUUCAAAUCCCCACGACGGGGUGAGCUCCCGUUGCUCGGUUCCUGCUCCUGACAACCUAGCAGUUUGAAAGCACCCCAAAAAUGCAAGUAAAUAAAUAGGUACUGCACCGGCAGGAAGGUAAAUGGCAUUUCCAUGCUCUGCUCUGGUUUUGGUGUUCCAUUGCACCAGAAGUGGCUUAGUCGUGCUGGCCACAUGACCCGGAAAAACUGUCUGCAGACAAAUGCUGCACCACAACCCCAGAGUCGUCUGUGACGGGACUUAACUGUCCUUUACCUUUACGUUUCAGUCCUUUUUGUAAUGUGGAGGGGCAUUGAAUAUGCCAUCCCCUAGCCUAGCUGUAUCUGCAGCUGCAUCUUCCAGGGUUCUUCAUUGCACAGAGAGCCUCCAUAUGUAGAACCAGUUCCAAGUCGCAAAAAUUAUGCUAGGACAUGGGAAAGCCAGCACUGAGACACAUGAAAAUGGGGGUUGGGGCUACCAAUGGGACUCUGCCUCUCAUUGUGCUGUUUCUUCACAUCUGUAACACCCAAAGAGGGUCAUACUUUGGCAAUCAUGAAGGAGAAGAGAAUUUUGCAAUUGAGAGUCAUACUGAUAUGACAACUGUAUUGUUGUUAAAGCUCAUGGCCAAACAAAUAUUGAUUGGCUUGUGCACUUGAGAAAUAUGAAUGGCCCUGAAGCUCAGAUUUGUACGUGGUUUGUAAAUUUAAGAAGGUAUGUGUGCUUGGCCAAUCUUUGGCCAAGAUUGCAACAGGACAUGAGAGUGGAGGCAGUUUCUUAGGCAUGGUGGACCCCAAAGCUAGAGCCAGUUUAUCCACCCAGCAGACUCAUGUGGUGAAGCUGCCCUAGACUGUGCAACCUGACGCCACAGGUGUGGGUUCAAAGGUUUGAAUGCUCUCCCUUUCCAGAAGAUUAACAAAAGCACUUAGCAUGUCAAACAGAAGGGGUAAGCUUGGGCUAUACUAUUUCUCGAUCUGCAGAGAGUUUGAUGUGUUUUUCCCCAUGUGGGGAAAAAAAGAAGUGAAGUCCUGAAGCACUUAUCCCAGGGGAAAGUUUACCACUAGAUAUAGCUUUUACAAAUCGGCACCUAGCACAAAGAAAAACAUACUUUGUAGCCAAUACUGUAUUCUUUAAAAUAUAUAUUCUGCAAAUAGGCAUUGCAACAGAUCAAUGCAUUACUACAAAUGUUUAAAAUAUAAAGCUCUACAUCUUAGCAGGACUGCAGGGGUGCAUUAAGCAUAAACUUUAAUUCAGGCUAUAUCUCUGUAUGUUCGCAGAAGUUUAACUCUUUUGUCUUUCUGAUUUGUCUUACUGGCAGGGCAAAAGAAGCCACUUGUGUGUAACAUGGGCUUUAUCAUCACUCAAGAGAAAACAAGCAGUUUCCAUGAGAGUGCUAAUGCCUUCACCAGUUAUCCAAGGUUUCAGAUCUUUCACUCUGAGGUUCAUGCACAGAAUGCAGAUUAAAAUAUAACACACUAGUUGCUCAGCUUGUUUUUCAUCACAAAUGCAUAGUUUUUGUUCCACUGGCAUCUUCUUAGAACAUCCACUGAAGACCACAGUUGGCAAGACUUAAAAAACAUAAUCUAGUAACUGUAUUUCUUAAUGAGACUGACAGAAGUUUGGAUAGAUAAUUUGCUCUAAAAAGGGAAAGAUUGGCUGCUUCUUGAAAACACGGACAUUUUAGAUUUAGAAGGUUUUAACAAUGUCUUUGGAUGGCAUGCAUAUCUAUGGUAUGACAAGGUUAAAGCACAUAAGGCCUUUAAGAACCAUAUUGUCAGGAAAGCAUUGUUUAAUGUCUGGGUGAGAUAUAAGGAUUUGUUAGAAAGUAAAACACCAAGGUGGCUGUCACCAAUGGAGGCUAAGGCUCUGAAAAAAAUCAAUAUGGAGACAAAUUGGCCAAAAUAUUGUGAAAUUUUAGAACAAGAUGGAGAUAGAUUAAAGCUGCAGAGCUUUGACAAAUUAAAAACUAAAGUUCGAGACUGGCUUCAUUAUUAUCAAAUAAGGGAGGCUUAUAAUUUAGAUAAGAAAAUUGGCUUCCAGGAGGAAAAAUCAAAAUUGGAAACAGAAUUGUUAGAUCCUAAAACUAAGAACUUAUCAAGAAUGUAUAACUUGCUGUUGAAAUGGAAUACACAGGAUGAAACGGUUAAAUCUGUUAUGAUUAAAUGGGCACAAGACUUUGGACAUAACAUUAUGUUUGCUGACUGGGAACAGUUAUGGACCACAGGUAUGAAAUUUACGGCUUGUAAUGCCUUAAGAGGAAAUAUAAUGAAAAUGAUUUACAGGUGGUACUUAACCCCAGUCAAGCUAGCAAAAAUCUAUCAUUUGCCAGAUAGUAAAUGUUGGAAAUGUAAAGAGACUGAGGGCACAUUUUUUCACCUUUGGUGGACAUGCCCAAGGAUUAAGGCUUUCUGGGAAAUGAUAUAUAAUGAAUUGAAAAAGGUAUUUAAAUAUACCUUUCUGAAGAAACCAGAGGCCUUUCUUCUGGGCAUGGUCGGCCAAUUGGUGCGAAGGGAGGAUAGAACUUUUUUUAUGUAUGCUACAACAGCAGCAAGAAUACUCAUUGGGAAGUACUGGAAGACACAAGAAUUGCCCACCCGAGAAGAAUGGCAGAUGAAAGUGAUGGACUACAUGGAACUGGCUGAGAUGACUGGCAGAAUUCGAGACCAGGGAGAAGGGUCGAUGGAAGAAGAUUGGAAAAAAUUCAAAAUAUACCUUCAAAAAUACUGCAAUAUAAAAGACUGUUAGAAAGAGGUUGGAAAAAGAAAAUUAGGUCGUUUUGGUAGAUAUGAUAUAAAGGAUUAAGCAAAAAUGAGUUGAUGAAAUUGAUGAAACAGAGGAGGUUUAAUUACAUUAUUUUAAUUUUAAAAUACGUAAAUGAAAAUAAGGUUAGAAGGAUUUGCUGGAAAUACGAUCUGAACUAGAAUACAAAAUUGGGAGGUAAGAGGAGGUCAUGGAAAUAAGUAAAGGGAAAAGGCUAUGUAAAGGUUUAAUCUGUUUUUGUUUUAUUUUAACUUAAUGCAUUUUUAUAUUUUUUGUUAAGUCUUCUUUUUUAUUGUUCACUUUUAUCUUUUCAUUUUUCGCUUUGUUAUGGUUAAAGUCUUCUUUGUAUUUUGUAUGGUUUUUCUUUCUCUUUUUUGUAACUUUAAACUUGGAAUAAAUAUUUUUUU